rnacentral:rRNA from 1 species
UGGGGAAUUUUGGACAAUGGGCGAAAGCCUGAUCCAGCAAUGCCGCGUGUGUGAAGAAGGCCUUCGGGUUGUAAAGCACUUUUGUCCGGAAAGAAAUCCUUGGCUCUAAUACAGUCGGGGGAUGACGGUACCGGAAGAAUAAGCACCGGCUAACUACGUGCCAGCAGCCGCGGUAAUACGUAGGGUGCAAGCGUUAAUCGGAAUUACUGGGCGUAAAGCGUGCGCAGGCGGUUUGCUAAGACCGAUGUGAAAUCCCCGGGCUCAACCUGGGAACUGCAUUGGUGACUGGCAGGCUAGAGUAUGGCAGAGGGGGGUAAAUUCCACGUGUAGCAGUGAAAUGCGUAGAGAUGUGGAGGAAUACCGAUGGCGAAGGCAGCCCCCUGGGCCAAGUACUGACGCUCAUGCACGAAAGCGUGGGGAGCAAACNGGAUUAGAUACCCUGGUAGUCCACGCCCUAAANGAUGUCAACUAGUUGUUGGGGGAUUCAUUUUCCUUAGUAACGUAGCUAACGCGUGAAGUUGACCGCCU